rnacentral:rRNA from 1 species
AGAGUUUGAUCAUGGCUCAGAUUGGACGCUGGCGGCGGGCUUCAACAACAAUGCAAGUUCGAACGGUAACAGGAAGGAAGCUUGCUUUUCUUUGCUGAACGAGUGGCGGACGGGUGAGUAAUGGCUUGGGAAUUCUGGGCUUAUGGAGGGGGAUAAACUACGGGAAACUGUAGGCUAAUACCGGCGUAAUAUUCUUUCGGAUUAAAGGGUGGGAACUUUCGGGCCACCUGCCAUAAGAUGAGCCCAAGUGGGAUUAGGUAGUUGGUGGGGUAAAGGCCUACCAAGCCGACGAUUCUUCUAGCUGGUUCUGAGAGGAUGACCAGCCACACUGGAACUGAGACACGGUCCAGACUCCUACGGGAGGCAGCAGUGGGGAAUAUUGCACAAUGGGGGGAACCCUGAUGCAGCCAUGCCGCGUGAAUGAAGAAGGCCUUCGGGUUGUAAAGUUCUUUCGGUGAUGAGGAAGGUGUUUGUUUUAAUAGAACAAGCAAUUGACGUUAGUCACAGAAGAAGCACCGGCUAACUCCGUGCCAGCAGCCGCGGUAAUACGGAGGGUGCGAGCGUUAAUCGGAAUGACUGGGCGUAAAGGGCACGCAGGCGGUGACUUAAGUGAGAUGUGAAAGCCCCGAGCUUAACUUGGGAAUUGCAUUUCAUACUGGGUCGCUAGAGUAUUUUAGGGAGGGGUAGAAUUCCACGUGUAGCGGUGAAAUGCGUAGAGAUGUGGAGGAAUACCGAAGGCGAAGGCAGCCCCUUGGGAAUAUACUGACGCUCAUGUGCGAAAGCGUGGGGAGCAAACAGGAUUAGAUACCCUGGUAGUCCACGCUGUAAACGCUGUCGCAUUUGGGGAUUGGGCUUAGAGCUUGGUGCCCGUAGCU